rnacentral:lncRNA from 1 species
CCCGCCUCGCCCGCCCAGGAGGCCGCAGGGCCAGCGCAGGCCGGGCAGCCGGACGCACGCAGGUCCCGGCCCGAGUCGCCGCCACCGCGGCAUCCCCUGCUCCCGCUCCCCUGGGGAGCGAGUCCUGGGCUCGGCCCCCUUCAGGAAGACCCGCGUCGCCUCCUCCAGUGAAGCCUGCAGACGUGAGAGGUGGAAGGGGCUUAGUUCUAGACCCUCAGCUCUCCCAAAACUGGCUUCCGGACACAGAGCUACAAAAGAAGAGAGAGGCAGAGAGAGGAAGAAAGGAAAAAAAAGGAAAAAGGAAGGAGAUAGAAGCUAUGCUUUAUGGAAGCCAGGCACUGUUUAACAGCUGCUAAUGUUAUUUUUGGUCAAAUUGGAAAGAUCCCAGCCACAGAAGAGAGUAAGUUCAUGAGUGAAUGUUUUAUUAUAUAGAUUCUUUAAAAAAUAAAUUUCAAAAUUAUUUCAAAUGUGUAAGAAGUUGCAAGAACAAAACAAAGAACUACUAUAUACCUUCUUCUAAAUUCACCAGUGUUAAUAUUUGCCUAAUUUGCAGUCAUAUUUUACUUCUCUUCUGAACCUUUUGAGAGAAGAUUGCAUACAACAGGCUCCUUUAUCCCAUAAUACUUCAUGUCCUAAGGACAAGACUGUCUCCUUGCAUAGUCAUAGAACAGAUAGAAAAUUCAGGAAAUGCAAUUAUUAUUCUUUUAUCAUCUUUUGUAGUUCUCUUUAUUAAUAAUUCUUUUAUCAUCUUUUGUAUUUCAAUUUAUUAUGUCUAUAAUGUCCUUUAUAGCCAUUUUUUUCUAGUACUGGAUUAAUUCAAGAUUGCUUGUUUUUAUUUUUUUGUUUUUUUUGGUACCGUGUAUCAAACUCGGGUCUUUCUGCUUACGAGGCAGGCAGCAGAACCACUGAGCUAAAUCCCCAGCCGAAGAUUGCUUGUUGUAUUCAUUUGUCGCAUCUCCUUGGUUUUCUGUCAUCUGGAACAGUACCUCAGCUUUUCUUCUCUUUCACCACAUAACAUUUUUGAAAAAUACAAGCCAGUUACUUCAUAGGAUUGCCAUCAAGUGGGGUUUGUGUAAUAUUUCCUUUUGUCAAGGUGGAUACUAUAUAUAUUUGGUUAGAAUACAACAUGCAUAAUGUGUCCUCAAAUCUUUUUCAUUAUAGUAGACUUCUUUGUUUGCAGUGCUGGUGAGCAAACCCAGAAACCCAUGCAUGCUAGGCAAGUGCUGUACCACUGAGCUGGAUCCCCAGCCCUUAAUGAUAGUGUUUUCUUUUACCUUAAAAAAAAAAUCACAGUUAACAUGUAUUUGAGUCAUUUAAUGGGUUUUAUAUUAAGAUCACCAUUUUAUUUAUCCUCUGAUUCUGUAAUAUACGUUGAGCAGUGAAAACAUCAUAUUUUCUUUUCUUUUUGGUACCCAGGAUUGAAUUUAGGACCUUGUGCUUUCCAGGCAGGCACGGUGCCACUGAGCUAAACCCCUGACCUUUCUUUUUGUUUUUUGUGACAAGGUCUCACUAUGUAGUUCAGACUGGCCUUGAACUCACUAUGUAGCCCAGGCUGGCAUCAAACUCUGUGAUCCUCCUGCCUCAGCCUCCCAAGUGCUGGGAUUACAGGUGUGCGCCACCAAGCCCAGCGUCAGGAUUGCAAGUUUGAGCCCACCCAAGGCAACUUAAUGACUUAGUGGGACCCUGUCUCAAAAUAAAAAUAAAAGAGCUGAGAUGUAGCCCAGUGCAGAGAUCCUGUGAUCCAGUAUUGCAAUUAAAUAAAUGCCACUUGUCUUAAAAAUUAACAAAAACAAAAUCAUAGCCUGCCUCACAAGCACAAAGACCUGAGUUCGAUCCCUGGUACCAAAAAAAACACAUGGAAAGCUCUGGGGUUUGAGGGUGUUACCAAGCAAAAGAUCAUUUGCUUAGCAUGUACAAGCUCUGGGUUAGAUCCCCAGGACUGACAGAGAGAGACACAGACACAGGCAAAGACAGACAGAAACAGACCUGAAGAAAAUGACAAGGCCUGUUGUUUUCAAAAUGUCUUCUGUGAGCAUCCUCAAAUAAUGUUGGCUAGAUAACUUGUUGAAAAUAAUUUGUUAACAUUUAAAGUUGUGUAAACUCUUUGACCUAGUAAAUUUCACUUCUAGAAUCUCUCCUCAGGAGGUAGUCCAAAAUCCAAGCCAAUUUAUGCACUGAAAUCGGCAUGUUUAGAGUUGUUUAUAAUAGUAAAGAAUGAGAAAUAAUGAGUUCCUGUAUUAGAAGAAUGGUUCAAGUGCAUUUAACUGUAUAUAGUGCUUUACUUAAAAAUGAAGCUAAUAUGGGCUGAGGAUUUAGCUCAGUGGUUCUGGCACCUGCCUCGAAAGUGAAAGAUCCUGAGUUCGAUCCCCAGUACCAAAUAAAUAAAUACAUAAAUAAAAUAUAUAAAGCAUGCAGUUGUGAAUAGACUGAGAAAUUCUUAGAUAAAAGUGAAACUAAAGAGUUGAUAUGGGGCUAGGGAUUUAGCUCAGUGG